ensembl:lncRNA
GUUUUUAUUAAUGAUUUUAAUUAUACAUUCUAAAUUUUGCAGUUAGCUAAAUGUGAAGACUCUUUGCUUAAUAAUAAACUUUAUUUUAGAGUUAAUUUUCAUGCAUUUUUAUACUUUUAAUGUCCUGGGGACAGAAAUGUUACCCAUUCGGUAGAAUGUCCCACCGGAAGUGGCGCUGCGACCUGCCGGUUACAUCAUCGACAAUCAUGGCAUUAACAUACAUGGACCAGAUGAAGGUACAGCACGUCGGAGAUUGGCCUCACCUACCACCAUCAAGGAACUCCAACGUCUCCUAGGUUUUGCCAAUUUGUAUCGCAGAUCUCCAAUUUCAGCCAAAUCUGUGCACUUCUAACCUCACUCCUCAAGAAUAAACCUAAGUUUCUACAACUUUUACUUAGGGGCAAAAAUCUGCUUUUACACUUGAAAGAAAUAAAGAUUUGAAAUGUAUUGUGAUAAUUCUCGAUAUACACUGAUAUGAAAACUUUUAUCGUGCUAUUGUUUUGCCCAUAUCGCCCAGCCCUAAUAGAUGUAGCCUAUUUCAGCUUUACCAGACUCGAUCUGGUUAGUUUUGAAAUGUGUGACGUAGGUUAAAAAGCUGCUUUCACUUUCACAUUUUGCCAUUUCAACCCAUAUGCCAGACUUUUUUUUAGCGUUCAAGGUGGUCAAACAUAAAUUUCGCCCUUCAAGAUGUCUAUGAAUAGCAAUAUUUAACAAGACAAACAAGCGAAUAUUUUUCAUCCCUCCACUUCAGAAUUAGCAUAUGAUGCCAUCGAUUAAAUAUUCCAUCGACACACCUUGCAGUGUCAAAGACAUCGCUAACGCAUUCAAGAAAAGUCUUAAGGUUAAGACAAAACUGACAUGGGGUAUCAGCUUGAAAAAUGCGGAAAAGAGAAAGAAGCCCAGUGAUAUUGACCUAGUUUUCUUCCCAGUUGUUUCUCGCACUGGAACUGACAUUGAUGCUGCUGUCAGUAAGAUUACACACAGUAAGCCAGUCAUUUUAGUGGUGCUUCAUCACACAUUUGACCCUGAGGCUGUUGUGUCAAACAGCAGUACACUUGUGAAGAGGGAGAAUACGCUUACAGUGGACUGUCUGUUCUAUGAGGACAAAGGAUUAUUAAAAUGUAAAAGAAAUGAUAAAGCUUGUGAAGAUGCUAUACAGUGGCUGAAAUCAAUGAAAAAAGUGAAGGUGAAGGAACGUAAGUUACUCAGUCAAUUUAUUAUGCUUAAUAAUAUCAUAAGAGCCAUAAUAGAUAACUGUUUUUGUUUUUACACUUAAUUAUCUUCAGGAAAAAGUGGUAAACAAAAAGGAUCCCCUACCAAACCCUGACAAACUUCCAGUUCAAAUUCUGCUCAGAUGCACUGGGAAAAGAAAUGUCAGGGGUCCGGGCCCUGUGUUUCUCCCUCUCACCACCAGAGGUCGCCAUCUCCCUUCCUCUCGGACUCCAUUUCCCAGACUCCACUCACCUGUCACUCUUUACACCCUUAGCUGUUCCCCAUUGUCACAGACUAUAUAUUCUCAUCUCACUCACACACCACUCUGCCUGGCUGAAUUAAUUGUAAUUGUAGUUGUAAUUUCUUGUUGUAGGUUGUGGAUACUAGGCCUGUCGCAAUAAUCAAUAUAUCGACUUAUCGCGCAAUAUAUGUACAUGACCUGAAUAAUUUUUGGUGACGCAAUAUAUCGCCCAUUAUAUUUCCUUAAAAAUUAAUGUCACCAUGUUUUGUACAUUUCACGUGCGCCUGUGUCUUUU